rnacentral:rRNA from 1 species
AGUGAACGCUGGCGGUAGGCCUAACACAUGCAAGUCGAACGGCAGCACAGUAAGAUCUUGCUCUUACGGGUGGCGAGUGGCGGACGGGUGAUGAAUACAUCGGAAUCUACUUUUUCGUGGUGGCUAACGUAGGGAAACUUACGCUACUACCGCAUACGACCUACGGGUGAAAGCAGGGGAUCUUCGGACCUUGCGCGAUUGAAUGAGCCGAUGUCGGAUUAGCUAGUUGGCGGGGUAAAGGCCCACCAAGGCGACGAUCCGUAGCUGGUCUGAGAGGAUGAUCAGCCACACUGGAACUGAGACACGGUCCAGACUCCUACGGGAGGCAGCAGUGGGGAAUAUUGGACAAUGGGCGCAAGCCUGAUCCAGCAAUACCGCGUGGGUGAAGAAGGCCUUCGGGUUGUAAAGCCCUUUUGUUGGGAAAGAAAAGCAGCAGGUUAAUACCCAGAGGUUAUGACGGUACCCAAAGAAUAAGCACCGGCUAACUUCGUG